CGGACGGGUGAGUAAUGUCUGGGAAACUGCCUGAUGGAGGGGGAUAACUACCGGAAACGGUAGCUAAUACCGCAUAACGUCGCAAGACCAAAGAGGGGGACCUUCGGGCCUCUUGCCAUCGGAUGUGCCCAGAUGGGAUUAGCUAGUAGGUGGGGUAACGGCUCACCUAGGCGACGAUCCCUAGCUGGUCUGAGAGGAUGCCAGCCACACUGGAACUGAGACACGGUCCAG
rnacentral:rRNA from 1 species